GAAGAAUGUGAUACUAGAUGGAAUGCUACGUAUGAUUAUUUAAAAGCUUGUCUUGCUUAUAAAGUUCCUAUUACAUUGACUUUUAACCACUUUUGUGGUUCAUUUGCUAAUUCAGCUGAAUGUAUCCUAAAUGAUUCUGAUUGGGCUACAAUUGGUGAUCUUAUUAAGUUUUUGGAAAUUUUUUAUAUAGCUAGGAUUGAAUUUUUCGAUGCUUAUUAUC
rnacentral:lncRNA from 1 species